AAAAAAAUGAAAGGCUUCGGCUGCCAUUAUUUUUAUUUUCCUUUUUAGUUUACAUGACUAGCUCCCAGUUGCAUUCUUUACAAGAACUACCGUCACCAGGUUGACACGACUAAACGUUCGCGUUUUAACACGACGCAGACAGCKUUGGUUCAUCCAAUGCCGAUCGGUUAGCAAAAUUCCGCUCAGAAACCGCUCGUUUCUGUUCUUGCAGGGUUGUGGUUCGUUUCGAACUCCCAUGUUUACUGCGAGCUUGUCCGAAUACAGKGAAUCACCUUAUGGUUUCCCGCGUUACAUUGCGCAAGUUUCUAAGCUACUAAGUGACUUAAGACUGUUCAAGUGUGAUGCAUAGCGUAAAGCGACGCAAGAAGUAGCUACGCGUCUUGUGUUCUCUAGGCAACAACUUUCAACAUUUACUAAAUGUAAACAACAUGACUGCGACUGACGUAAUUGUUUUUUCCAAAUACCACACCAGGACCACCGCCCGCUUGCAAGGCGGGUCCUUUGCACUUGUUCAAGAACGUUUUCUUACGUUCCCACUUUAUUUAUUAGGUCGGCUUCGGAAGUAUAACAUAAACACAUUACUAAGGAGGCGUCCAGUGGGGAUGCCUUU
rnacentral:rRNA from 1 species